rfam:TPA: Bos taurus chromosome 23, whole genome shotgun sequence.
UCCCUAGUGGCUCAGACUGUAAAAGCAUCUGCUUGCAAUGCAGGAGACCUGGGUUCAAUCCCUGGAUGGGAAA